UGGGGAAUCUUGCGCAAUGCGCGAAAGCGUGACGCAGCAACGCCGCGUGGGGGAAGAAGGCCUUCGGGUUGUAAACCCCUUUCAGGAGGGACGAAGGUGCGGCGGCGAACAGCCGUCCGCACUGACGGUACCUCCAGAAGAAGCCCCGGCUAACUACGUGCCAGCAGCCGCGGUAAUACGUAGGGGGCUAGCGUUGUCCGGAAUCAUUGGGCGUAAAGCGCGCGUAGGCGGGCCCGGGUAAGUCCGCUGUAAAAGUCCAAGGCUCAACCUUGGAAUGCCGGUGGAUACUGUCGGGCUAGAGUCCGGAAGAGGCGAGUGGAAUUCCUGGUGUAGCGGUGGAAUGCGCAGAUAUCAGGAGGAACACCGAUGGCGAAGGCAGCUCGCUGGGACGGUACUGACGCUGAGGCGCGAAAGCGUGGGGAGCGAACAGGAUUAGAUACCCUGGUAGUCCACGCCGUAAACGAUGGGCACUAGGUGUGGGAGGUGUCGACUCCUCCCGUGCCGUCGCUAACGCAUUAAGUGCCCCGCC
rnacentral:rRNA from 1 species